CAAGAAUCCUACAUCCAGCAAAAUCAUCUUAUGAAAAUAAUAUUGGUGAAAUAUUUCCCCAAAUAAACAAAGUGAGAGAAUUUGUGCUAGCAGAUCUGCCUUACAAGAAAUACUAGAAGAAGUUCUUCAGGCUGAAGGGGACUUCAGGAUGUGGAGAAACUCAGAUGCAGUCCAUGCAGCCACUGGUGGUUCUAUUGACUUUGCAAGUUCUUCUUUGGCAAGAUGUAGUAACAAGGCCUGAAGUGCCCUCCUGCUCAAAACAACUAAAAAACUAUAUUGACAAAAUGUAUGAAACAAGUUUUCAGACAUUGGACAUCAAAGACUGUAGGACAAUGAUCCCUGAGAGAGGUGAGCCCUGUGAUUACCCUAGCUUGCUGCUGGAAACUCUUUCCAGGCAUGGCACAGGGAGGGAGAACUCAGGCGGAGCCUGGUAAUCUCCUUCAAUUGAGGAUACAGAGUCCAGGGUGGCCAAAGUGUCUGGAAUUUUCAGGGCAAAGUACCAGAGGCAAGAGACCUGCACAGAGAGACUCUCUAGGGAUCUGAGAGAGUCCCCUCAAGUUUUCAGCUGGAUAAUAGUCAGUGCAUAUGAGGAAGGAAACCAUCCAUGUCUGUGGAAGAACCACCUGAAAGGAGCAGAGGAAACAAUUCUCAAAGCUCACAUAGGGAAAAGAAUAGUUCAUGUUCACCCUAGACAGAGUAGAAAACCUUAUAAUUCACCUAUCAUUGGUGGAGGGGGAAAAUUAGCGCUAGACUAAAGGCAACCCUAGUUCCAUAUAACAAAGAUUAAGGGCAAGCCUCCAAAAGAUCAAACUAUUUGUAAAUGAUUUAACUGCAUCUCAGAAGAAAGCUCAAAAAUAUAUGUAUGAGUACAAAAACAUCCAGUAUCCAACAAGGUAAAGUUCACAAUGUCUGGCAUUUAAUUUUUAAAAAUUACAAAAAUGCAAAGAACCAGGAAAAUACAACCUAUAAUGAGGACAACCGUAAAUCAGUAGAAUCAGACCCAGAAAUGCCACAGAUAAUAGAAUUACUAGACAAGGAUAUUAAAACAGGUGCUAUAACUAUAUUCCAUAUGUUCAAGAAGAUAGAGGAAAGAUUGAGCACAUUAAGUUGAGAUAUGGAAGAUAUAAAAAGACCCACAUUGAAAUACCAGAUGCAAACUACGAGAUGAAAAAUACAUUGCAUGAGGUUAGCAUCAGAUUAGAUACUGAAGAAGAAAAGAUUAGUGAAUCUGAAGACAGCCAUAAAAACUAAAAUCAAGCGAAAAAAGACUGAAAGAAAAAAAGAAACAGUAUAGGGGAGGCUGUCAUAUAACUUCAAGCAGCAUAAUGUAUGUAUAAUUGGAGUCCCUGAAGAAGGGUGUAGGGGACAGAAAAAUUACUUGAAGAAAUAAUGGCUGAAAACUCCAAAUUAGAUAAAAAUUAUAAACCCAUAGAUCAAAGAAGCUCAGUGAACCCCAAGAACAAGAAACAUGAAUAAAACUACACCAAAUAACGUGAUAAAUUACUUAAAACCAGUGAUAUGCCUCUAGAUAUGACUGACCUGUCAGUCUGUCCCAGAACUUUCCCUUUGGACAGGAACUGACUGAGCUAAGGACACAGUAUCCCUGGAACUUUGACAGUAUAUGAAGUUUAGUGUCUGCUCCAUUCCAAACUCUUUAAAUGAAUCAGAUCUGCCCUAAAACAUGAGAUCCAGCCUCAGGCAAUAUCAGCUGUCACUGGGUUUCAUCCAGACAGCCUGCCAUUUUCUGUCCAGAUUGUCCCAUUUAUUUUCUUGGCCUGCUUGGCUCGGCAAUCCCCUUGCAUUUUAAUAUAUGCUCAUGUCGUUUUUACAUGCACAAUCCAUUUGAGCAGGAUUUUCUGGCUUUGGCCUUCAGCACUCUCUCCAGACCUGAUUUAGUAAAUGUCCUCUGCCCCAGUGCUCAGGACCUAUGCCAGAUAGGCUGACCAUGAUUCCUACCAGUUUUCCUGUGAAAAAUUUUCAGGAAGUUUUAAGAGAGUAGAUUUUAAAAGUUCUCAUCACAAGAAAAAAAAAUUGUAACUGUGAGUUGAUGGAGGUUAACUAAACUCAUCCUCGUAAUCAUUUUGCAAUGUAUACAUAAUCAUUACAUUGUACAUCUAAAAUGAAUACAAUGUUAUAUGUCAAUUAUAUCUCAAUUAAAAAACUUUUCCAGAAAUAACUUUAAACUUUCUGACCAUGUGGUCAAACUCUAGGCAAUGUUGGGAUCCAGCUGGGUGCUAUGAAAGUUUCAAGUUUCAAGUUGAGAAUUUCAGUUGCAUUUGUUAUAUGAAUCUGGAGCCUGAAUUGAAAUAUGCCCUCACAUCAGCUAUGCCUUGUGAGAAAUACCAGUGUUCUGCUUCCUCAGUCAAAACUGAGCAAUAACUACUAGCACUGUUGGCAUGGAUACUAACUCUAUAACAAGGCACUUGUGUAUAAAUAAAGUUGAAUAAAGUAUUUUUGGAUAUCUUUUGUAUUACUGCAAAAGUUAAUUUUUUGGAAUUGCUUGCUUCUGCAUUAAAAAAUUAGCCUUCCACAUAUAUUGUUUCCUGAUCAUAUUGCUCUUUGUCAAAAACACUUGUACACACUUCUGCUGUAUAAAUGAUGCUUAAAUGUCUAUGUAGAGUCAUAUGUGGCCUAUGUGUACAACCCUAAAAUAAACCAGAAGUGGUGGUGCAGCUUUAGGAUCCCAAAGGAGGCCAAGACCAAAUAAGUUCUGGAACACAACUUUAUUUUUAUUUUGGUGAACAUCUGGGCCCACAGUGGGGUGACAGGGAAGGAGUGAGAAAAUAAAGAUGAAAACACCUGGUCUUAGUCUUAAGGGUUCACAAUUUACAGGCAAGACAACAGUCAGGUGAAGCAGAAUGAGAUAAAUCAUUAAUUAAGUAUAAGCUUCACGCUGAGGGCUUGAAGAGGUGGGACACAUUACAUUUGCGGCAGGAAUUAGGUUCUAGUAAGUCAGACAUGCAGUGAAAAGGAAUAUAGGAAAUCAGAGAAAAUAGCUGGGGCUUCAACCAGUUGCUAGAUGUUGAGUUUUGAAACUCUUGUGGGACUGAAGCUAAAUCUAUGUGGUUUGUGGCUUAGUGAACAGAUGUGUCAGUAUCUUCUGUGGCCUACAGACACUGUAGGAACCUGAGCACAGAAGAGAAUGCUUCCUGUUAGUCUACAUGACGAGGUCAGCUCCACUCUAUCAUUAACGUACUCAGGCCACCUCACACGGGGCCCGGACUGUCACACAAACCCACUACAUAUCUCAGCAAAGGUUGCAUGUGCAAGCCACUUCGUUAUUUUAGAUUUUGCCACUUUUUGGAAUUACACUUGUAUGAUUCUCUUUAUUACCCUUAGCGAGAAUAAUCAAUUAACCUUAAAUGAUAAUGGAAAGGGGAAAGAAAUGAUGUAAUAGAUGAAGCAAGUAUGGUAAAUGCUUAUAAGUAGAUAAAAAGGAGAGGAGAUCAGUGCAUGAAUUGG
ensembl:lncRNA